GACAGAGGGGGCAAGCGUUGCUCGGAAUUAUUGGGCGUAAAGAGCUCGUAGGCGGUUUGUCGCGUCUGCUGUGAAAACUCGGGGCUUAACCCCGGGCCUGCAGUGGGUACGGGCAGACUAGAGUGCGGUAGGGGAGACUGGAAUUCCUGGUGUAGCGGUGAAAUGCGCAGAUAUCAGGAAGAACACCCGUGGCUAAGGCGGCUCUCUAGUACGGUACUGACGCUGAGACGCGAAAGCGUGGGGGAGCGAACAGG
rnacentral:rRNA from 1 species